GAUGAACGCUGGCGGCGUGCCUAAUACAUGCAAGUCGAGCGAACAGAUAAGGAGCUUGCUCCUUUGACGUUAGCGGCGGACGGGUGAGUAACACGUGGGUAACCUACCUAUAAGACUGGGAUAACUUCGGGAAACCGGAGCUAAUACCGGAUAAUAUUUCGAACCGCAUGGUUCGAUAGUGAAAGAUGGUUUUGCUAUCACUUAUAGAUGGACCCGCGCCGUAUUAGCUAGUUGGUAAGGUCACGGCUUACCAAGGCGACGAUACGUAGCCGACCUGAGAGGGUGAUCGGCCACACGGGAGCUGAGACGCGGACCAGACGCCUACGAGAGGCAGCAGUAGGGAAUCUGCCGCAGUAGGCGAAAGCCUGACGGAGCAACGCCGCGUGAGUGAUGAAGGUCUUCGGAUCGUAAAACUCUGUUAUUAGGGAAGAACAUACUUGUAAGUAACCGUACACGUCUUGACGGUACCGAAUCAGAAAGCCACGGCUAACUACGUG
rnacentral:rRNA from 1 species